rnacentral:rRNA from 1 species
GCUUAGAGUUUGAUCCUGGCUCAGGAUGAACGCUGGCGGCGUGCUUAACACAUGCAAGUCGAACGGUCUCUUCGGAGAUAGUGGCGGACGGGUGAGUAACGCGUGAGAAUCUGCCUUUAGGUUCGGGACAACAGUUGGAAACGACUGCUAAUACCGAAUGUGUCGCAAGAUGAAAGAUUUAUUGCCUAAAGAUGAGCUCGCGUCUGAUUAGCUAGUUGGUGGGGUAAAAGCGUACCAAGGCGACGAUCAGUAGCUGGUCUGAGAGGAUGAUCAGCCACACUGGGACUGAGACACGGCCCAGACUCCUACGGGAGGCAGCAGUGGGGAAUUUUCCGCAAUGGGCGAAAGCCUGACGGAGCAACGCCGCGUGAGGGAGGAAGGCUUUUGGGUUGUAAACCUCUUUUAUCAAGGAAGAUAAUGACGGUACUUGAUGAAUCAGCAUCGGCUAACUCCGUGCCAGCAGCCGCGGUAAUACGGAGGAUGCAAGCGUUAUCCGGAAUAAUUGGGCGUAAAGCGUUCGUAGGUGGUUUUGCAAGUCUGCUGUUAAAGCGUGUAGCUUAACUACAUAAUGGCGGUGGAAACUGCAAAACUAGAGUGCGUUCGGGGCAGAGGGGAUUCCUGGUGUAGCGGUGAAAUGCGUAGAUAUCAGGAAGAACACCGGUGGCGAAGGCGCUCUGCUAGGCCGCAACUGACACUGAGGGACGAAAGCUAGGGGAGCGAAUGGGAUUAGAUACCCCAGUAGUC